UACGUAGGGGGCAAGCGUUGUCCGGAUUUAUUGGGCGUAAAGAGCGUGUAGGCGGCUUGGUAGGUCCGCUGUGAAAACUCGAGGCUCAACCUCGAGAUGUCGGCGGAAACCACUUGGCUAGAGUCCGGAAGAGGAGAGUGGAAUUCCCGGUGUAGCGGUGAAAUGCGCAGAGUAUCGGGAAGAACACCUAUGGCGAAGGCAGCUCUCUGGGGACGGUACUGACGCUGAGACGCGAAAGCGUGGGGAGCGAACAGG
rnacentral:rRNA from 1 species